GGUGGGAUGUGUUUCUGAAGGGUGUUAUGACUCUCUUUCCUGACCAGGGCUCUUUGUUCCAUGGCAGAGAACAAGCCCAGUUGAGAGGAGUCAGGACAUUUGGGGACAAGGGUAGUGUACAUGCUGUACUCAUGGGAGAAUACUGUCUGGAAUCCUGGAUCCUGGAAGGGUGGGAGCCCUUACAACCCCAUCAUUUCCAAGCCUGAGGUUGAUCAAAAAAAGGAAACCUGAAGGAAGCUUACAGACCCAAGCCACCAAAUGUGAGUACCUUUCAGUGCAGGCUGGCUUCCAUGUAAGUGUUAGUUUGUCCAGGUGCUGGUGAACAGACCAUAAUCUUCUUCCCCAUGGUGAACUCAACAAAUGUGUGCUUGCUCAGGGCAGGCUCUAUCAGGAGUAGUGUUCCCCUCUAGAGAUGCUAGCACAAGUUAUGAAUGUCCCUUUCUCCCUCCCCUUUGCAUUUUAAUGAUGCUCAUGU
rnacentral:lncRNA from 12 species